rfam:Heligmosomoides polygyrus genome assembly, scaffold: HPBE_scaffold0012826
CCCGCCGAACCUAAGCGUAUCAUUUAGCGGAGGAAAAUAAACUAACAAGGAUUUCCUUAGUAACGACAGUGAACGGAGAGAAGCCCAGCGCUGGAUAUUUCGGUAUUACACCGUUAAAGAAAUGUAGCCUAUAGGUGCGGUUUUCAGUUUGUGCUGCACGUUCAAAGUCCCUUUGAUAGGGGCCACAUUCCUGAGAGGGUGCGAGACCUGUGCGGGCAGUGGAGCAAAGUACGAUCAUACCUUGGGGUCGGGUUGCUUGGGUUGCUUGAAAGUGCAGCCUAAAGUGGGUGAUAAACUUCAUCUAACGAUAAGGGUAAAUAUAGACUCGAAUUCGAUAGCAAACAAGUACUGUGAAGGAAAGUUGCAAAGAACUUUGAAGAGAGAGUUCAAGAGAACGUGAAAUCGCUGAGAGAGAGAGUUCAAGAGAACGUGAAAUCGCUGAAGUGGAACGGGAAAGAGUUGACGUAGCCGGGUAACUAAGUCUACUUAUGUCGCUUAAUUGUGACUGAGGGAGAUGUAUGCUUCUUACGGCUGCGCUGACAGCGCUGGCCGUGCAUUCCGAACCGUUUAGCAUUGCCCACCACUUCGGCGGUGGUGUCUGGCUGGCGGAUAGGUUUGUCGGGUCUAGCGUUUUUGCACUACUUCAUUGUAGUGUGUCAGUGUGAAAAUCGACCACCUCUCCGACCCGUCUUGAAACACGGACCGAGGAGUGUAACUUAUGCGCGAGUUAAAGGGUUAAAAGCCCCAAGGCGUAAUGAAAGUAAAGAUCGGUUGACCGGCUGACAUGGGAUCCGUUUCGUUUACGAAGCGGCGCACCAUGGCCCUGUCUUGGCUGCUUGCAGAUGAGCAGCGUACAGGUUCCGACCCCAAAGAUGGCGAACUAUGCUUGAGCAGGACGAAGUCAGAGGAAACUCUGAUGGAAGUCCGUAUCGGUUCUGACGUACAAAUCGAUCGAUAAACUUUGGUAUAUGUAGGGGCGAAAGACUAAUUGAACCAUCUAGUACCUGGUUCCCUCCGAAGUUUCCCCCAGGAUAGCUGGAGUUCAUAGCGGUUAUAUCCGGUAAAGCGAAUGAUUAGAGAAGUCGGUACCCGCUAAGGAGUGUGUAACAACUCACCUGCCGAAUAAACUAGCCCUGAAAAUGGAUGGCGCUUGAGCGAGAGACCUAUACCCAAGCGUUGCUGGUUUGUGCGUUGUCUAGCGCCUGACCGCAACGAGUAGGAGGGUCGUGGCGGUUGCGUCGAAGGCUUUGGGCGUAGGCCCAGCUGGAGCUUCCGUCAGUGCAGAUCUCGGUGGUAAUAGCAAAUAUUUAAGUUCGAUCCUUGAAAACUGAAGUGGAGAAGGGUUUCACGUGAGCAGUAGUUGAAUGUGGGUCAGUCGAUCCUAAGAUACUGGCGUAUGCCUUGUAUCAUCGAGAUGGAAAAGUCUCUUUUCUCUCGGAUAUCAAAAGGGAAUAGGGUUAAUAUUCCCUAACGCAGACACAGNCGCACCACGAUGUACAACGUCCACAAGCAGGUAACGCAUUCGAACUUGGUUACGUCGCGCAGAGAGCGAGCUGGAGUUCUCUUCUCUAGUUAAGGAACGGACUCCCUGGAAUCGGUUCAGCCGUAGAUAGGGACGUUGUUUCCGUAAAGCAUCGCAGUUCCUGUGAAGUCUUGUGUUCCCUGGAAGGCUCUUGAAAAACCAGAAAAUGCUAUUAAUAAGUGCUGCAUCGUACUUAUAUCCGCAUCAGGUCUCCAUGAUGAACAGCCUUUAGCC